rnacentral:rRNA from 1 species
UGGCGCACGGCGCACGGGUGCGUAACGCGUGGGUAAUCUGCCCUUCGAUGGGGAAUAACCCCGGGAAACCGGGGCUAAUUCCGCAUAACAUUCCUUGAACUCCGGUUUGAGGAUUCAAAGCCCGCCUCUGGCGGGCGUCGGAGGUGGAGCCCGCGCACGAUUAGCUAGUUGGUAGGGUAACGGCCUACCAAGGCUUUGAUCGUUAGCUGGUCUGAGAGGAUGGCCAGCCACACUGGAACUGAGACACGGUCCAGACUCCUACGGGAGGCAGCAGUGGGGAAUCUUGCACAAUGGGCGAAAGCCUGAUGCAGCGACGCCGCGUGGGGGAUGAAGCUUUUCGGAGUGUAAACCCCUUUCGACCGGGACGAAUAUCCGCCUUUGGCGGAGGUGACGGUACCGGUAUAAGAAGCCCCGGCUAACUACGUGCCAGCAGCCGCGGUAAGACGUAGGGGGCCAGCGUUGCUCGGAAUUACUGGGUGUAAAGGGUUCGUAGGCGGUGUGGCAAGUCGGGAGUGAAAUCUCUGGGCUCAACCCAGAGGCUGCUUCCGAAACUGCUGUGCUUGAGUGUGGGAGAGGCGCGUGGAAUUGCAGGUGUAGCGGUGAAAUGCGUAGAUAUCUGCAGGAACACCCGUGGCGAAAGCGGCGCGCUGGACCACUACUGACGCUGAGGAACGAAAGCUAGGGGAGCAAACAGGAUUAGAUACCCUGGUAGUCCUAGCCCUAAACGAUCAGGACUUGGGGUGCCACCCGUUCGGGUGUCGUCCCGGAGCUAACGCGUUAAGUCCUGCACCUGGGGAGUACGGUCGCAAGACUGAAACUCAAAGGAAUUGACGGGGGCCCGCACAAGCGGUGGAACAUGUGGUUCAAUUCGACGCUACGCGAGGAAC